AUUGAACGCUGGCGGCAGGCCUAACACAUGCAAGUCGAGCGGAUGAAGGGAGCUUGCUCUUGGAUUCAGCGGUGGACGGGUGAGUAAUGCCUAGGUAUCUGCCUGGUAGUGGGGGAUAACGUCCGGAAACGGGCGCUAAUACUGCAUACGUCUCGAGGGAGAAAGGGGGGGUUCUUCGGACCGCAGGCUAUCAUAUGAUCCUAGGUGGGAGUGGCUAGUUGGUGGGGUAAAGGCCUACCAAGGCGACGAUCCGUAACUGGUCUGAGAGGAUGAUCAGUCACACUGGAACUGAGACACGGUCCAGACUCCUACGGGAGGCAGCAGUGGGGAAUAUUGGACAAUGGGCGAAAGCCUGAUCCAGACAUGCCGCGUGUGUGAAGAAGGUCUUCGGAUUGUAAAGCACUUUAAGUUGGGAGGAAGGGCAGUAAGUUAAUACCUUGCUGUUUUGACGUUACCGACAGAAUAAGCACCGGCUAACUUCGUG
rnacentral:rRNA from 1 species